UCAUGAAAGCCGGCUGUACCCGAAGUCAUCGUGCCAACUGCAAAGAGGCAGGAUGCCGAAGGUAUGGCUGGUGAUUGGAGUG
rnacentral:rRNA from 1 species